UGGGGAAUAUUGCACAAUGGGGGAAACCCUGAUGCAGCAACGCCGCGUGCGGGAUGACGGCCUUCGGGUUGUAAACCGCUUUCAGCCAUGACGAAGCUUUUGUGACGGUAGUGGCAGAAGAAGCACCGGCUAACUACGUGCCAGCAGCCGCGGUAAUACGUAGGGUGCGAGCGUUGUCCGGAAUUAUUGGGCGUAAAGAGCUUGUAGGCGGUUUGUCGCGUCGAAAGUGUAAACUCAGUGCUUAACGCUGAGCCUGCUUUCGAUACGGGCUGACUAGAGGAAGGUAGGGGAGAAUGGAAUUCCCGGUGGAGCGGUGGAAUGCGCAGAUAUCGGGAGGAACACCAGUGGCGAAGGCGGUUCUCUGGACCUUUCCUGACGCUGAGAAGCGAAAGCGUGGGUAGCAAACAGG
rnacentral:rRNA from 1 species